rnacentral:lncRNA from 10 species
CUUCGGGAAGAGUGCCCCCUGGACACAAGUCUCUGUACUGACACCAACUGUGCCUCUCAGAGCACCACCAGUACCAGGACCACCACUACCCCCUUCCCCACCAUCCACCUCAGAAGCAGUCCCAGCCUGCCACCCGCCAGCCCCUGCCCAGCCCUGGCUUUUUGGAAACGGGUCAGGAUUGGCCUGGAGGAUAUUUGGAAUAGCCUCUCUUCAGUGUUCACAGAGAUGCAACCAAUAGACAGAAACCAGAGGCUUGAAAAAUCUCAAAUAAACGCUAAGAAAAGGGAGUAGGAAGAACAAGGAGUUGAGCCCUUGAAAGAUGACAGUGGUCUUCUUGCCUUCAUGCUUGGCCCUCUCUCCUCAAAAGGGCAAUGUUGGUACAAAAUUCCAUCUCAGCCACUUUCGAGGAGUUAUCUUCAUUAGCUAUAUCCAUCCUUUAAUCCAACACACACCUGCAAUGAUUACUGUGCAACUAUUUUGCUUAAUUUUUUAUUUGAAAAAAUGUAUUUAAAAGUCCAACAACUUUUUAAUAUAAAUUACGACUCUCAAACCCAUUCCCAUCACUUUAUUAGUGAUGGUAGCAUACAUAUUAGAGAAGGUAGCUAAAGGCAAGAGAGCACCAAAGGAAAAAGACUGUCCAAAGAACAGGUAUUAGAAUGAGGCCGAAGAUCACGGUGACCAGAGAUUUCUAGGAGUCUCUAACCUUUCCACCCUAUCCUGUUAACCCUUUAGAUCUCUAGUAUAACACUCAGGCUACUGAGGUAUUUUAGAGCAACAAGCUGGGUUACUUUCAGAGCAACCAGCUUGACUGGAACUGAGAGUAAAUUGGGAAUGUAUGACCAAUCUUAGACCCUGAAAAAUGGCAGAAAAUACAUGG